UGCCUGGCUGUCCGUUUCCUGGUGAGAGGCCAUCCCCACCUGUUCUUGACAGAAUCAGAAGACAUUUCGGGAACACUCUACUUCUUUCUCAACACUGUAAAGCCUGUGUCCUAUAAGGAGAGUGCAUGCUCUAAAAUAACCCUAUUUAACUCCUUCAAUUUCCUGUUUGCCUGAUUUGCCUGGGGCUAUGUUUGGAGAAGGUGCGCAUUUUGAGUCUGCUUCUUCCCUGGAGAGGAUUAAAAAUCUUGGGGCUCUCUCUGGGCCCCGUGGUUGUGCGGCAGCCUUCAGAACCCUACGAUCACGGACAGAAAAGUGGGUCCCUGCCGCUCUCGGAUGCUCUGAUUUGGAACUUGGGCAGCUUUUAGAGUCUGUCUUUGACCAGGAGUCAGCCGUGGUACAAUUGGACUUAUGUGUGAGAUUACAGAUGGAUUUUAUCUGAUGGGACAACUCCAGCUGAUUGGGGGAGGCCAAGAGAAACCAGACAACGUCAAACUGGCAGAAGAUAGGAGAAACAGAAGCGAACGG